ACCACUCCCUUAUUUGUGAUGAAACACUGAGAGAACUUGUGCAGAGGCUGUAGAUAACUUCAUGAGCACAAGGCCAUUUUAUGUUCAGAAAAUGUCCGAACUUAUGAAUGUCCUCAUCUUCCAUCAGAGUCAGGAUGGGAUUCGGAGGCAUGUAAGUUGAACCAGUCAUUAUCCUUCAUUACAAAAACAUGUUUCCAGCCGCAGACUGUACUGGCUUCAGUGACUUUACUAGCACUGUCAGUUUGGAGCAUGUAGGUGCUGCCAAAGGACCUUUUGAGAACAGUUCUGUCUCGGUUGUUUGCUUAUCUGCUGCCAUGGAAACAGAUGAUGCAGCAGCAGGGACGGGAGAGGACUGACUAACUCCAGCACAUAUUCUAGCACUGCGUGAGUAGCCAUCAGCGUUCUCAGGGGCAGCAGAUGUUGGCAAAUGGCUCUUUUGCUGCAUUGUGUCGAGCUGCGCUGCAGCUGCUUUGUGGACAUUCGUCAGCCGGAGACUGCUUUCCUGCACCUAAUUAGCAUGGUUGGUAACCUUCCAUUUUGGUCAUACUGGGAGUCAUAUGCCACUAUGUCUGAG
rnacentral:lncRNA from 1 species